rnacentral:rRNA from 4 species
UACAGACGGUCCAAACGUUAUUCGGAAUCACUGGGCUUAAAGAGUUCGUAGGCGGUCAGGAAAGUGGGGUGUGAAAGCCCUCGGCUUAACCGAGGAAUUGCGCUCCAAACUCCCUGACUUGAGGAGGCUAGAGGUAAGCGGAACUGAUGGUGGAGCGGUGAAAUGCGUUGAUAUCAUCAGGAACACCGGAGGCGAAGGCGGCUUACUGGGGCCUUUCUGACGCUGAGGAACGAAAGCUAGGGGAGCGAACGGG